AUGCAUUGGGUAGCUUGGUGGAGCACGUGCCUUCCAAAAUCAAGUGGAGGCAUGGGGUUCAAAGAUUUACACACUUUUAACUUAGCGCUGCUAGCUAAACAGAGUUGGAGGAUGAUUACUCAUCCUGAAUCUUUAUGUGCCCAAGUUCUGAGAGCAAAAUAUUUCCCUGAUGGGAAUAUACUAAAGGCAGGACCGAAGAAAGGUUCCUCCUACACAUGGCAAAGCAUUUGGGCGGGAUUGCAAACUUUUAGUUGACGACACAUUUGGAGGAUCGGAUCUGGUGAGAGAAUUGGCAUAUGGGAUGAUCAUUGGAUCCACUCGAGCCCCACAAGGAUGGUGUUCACAAGGGGAGGCAAUACAUUGCUGAGAACAGUAAAUGAAUUGAUGAUUCCUCACACGAGGAUGUGGGAUGAGGACCUGACCAGAAGUGUGUUUCUCCCGGUGGAUGCUGAGAACAUUUUAAGAAUCCCUUUGCCGGAGCACCUUAUUGAGGAUUUUGUAGCAUGGAACAGAAAGUAUUUCUCCUUCUCUGUAAGGUCUGCGUAUUACACUGAAUGGGGGCAUUAG
rnacentral:rRNA from 1 species